rnacentral:rRNA from 1 species
GAGUUUGAUCGUGGCUCAGAUUGAACGCUGGCGGCAUGCCUUACACAUGCAAGUCGAACGGCAGCACGGGAGCUUGCUCCUGGUGGGCGAGUGGCGAACGGGUGAGUAAUGCAUCGGAACGUAUCCUGGAGUGGGGGAUAACGUAGCGAAAGUUACGCUAAUACCGCAUAUUCUGUGAGCAGGAAAGCGGGGGACCUUCGGGCCUCGCGCUCUUGGAGCGGCCGAUGUCGGAUUAGCUAGUUGGUGAGGUAAAGGCUCACCAAGGCGACGAUCCGUAGCAGGUCUGAGAGGAUGAUCUGCCACACUGGAACUGAGACACGGUCCAGACUCCUACAGGAGGCAGCAGUGGGGAAUUUUGGACAAUGGGGGCAACCCUGAUCCAGCCAUGCCGCGUGAGUGAAGAAGGCCUC